rfam:Felis catus isolate Cinnamon breed Abyssinian chromosome A3, whole genome shotgun sequence.
GCCUGGGUGGCUCAGUCAGUUGAGCAUCCAACUUCAGCUUAGGUCAUGAUCUCGCGGUUCGUGGGUUCGAGCCCUGCAUCAGGCU